rnacentral:rRNA from 1 species
AUUGAACGCUGGCGGCAGGCCUAACACAUGCAAGUCGAACGAGUGGCGGACGGGUGAGUAAUGUCUGGGAAACUGCCCGAUGGAGGGGGAUAACUACUGGAAACGGUAGCUAAUACCGCAUACCAUCGGAUGUGCCCAGAUGGGAUUAGCUAGUUGGUGGGGUAAUGGCUCACCUAGGCGACGAUCCCUAGCUGGUCUGAGAGGAUGACCAGCCACACUGGGACUGAGACACGGUCCAGACUCCUACGGGAGGCAGCAGUGGGGAAUAUUGCGCAAUGGGCGAAAGCCUGAUGCAGCCAUGCCGCGUGUAUGAAGAAGGCCUUCGGGUUGUAAAGUUCUUUCAGCAGGGAGGCGUUACUCGCAGAAGAAGCACCGGCUAACUCCGUGCCAGCAGCCGCGGUAAUUC